rnacentral:rRNA from 1 species
AUUGAACGCUGGCGGCAGGCCUAACACAUGCAAGUCGAGCGGAUGACGGGAGCUUGCUCCUUGAUUCAGCGGCGGACGGGUGAGUAAUGCCUAGGAAUCUGCCUGGUAGUGGGGGACAACGUUUCGAAAGGAACGCUAAUACCGCAUACGUCCUACGGGAGAAAGCAGGGGACCUUCGGGCCUUGCGCUAUCAGAUGAGCCUAGGUCGGAUUAGCUAGUUGGUGGGGUAAUGGCUCACCAAGGCGACGAUCCGUAACUGGUCUGAGAGGAUGAGCAGUCACACUGGAACUGAGACACGGUCCAGACUCCUACGGGAGGCAGCAGUGGGGAAUAUCGGACAAUGGGCGAAAGCCUGAUCCAGCCAUGCCGCGUGUGUGAAGAAGGUCUUCGGAUUGUAAAGCACUUUAAGUUGGGAGGAAGGGCAGUAAGCUAAUACCUUGCUGUUUUGACGUUACCGACAGAAUAAGCACCGGCUAACUCUGUGCCAGCCGCCGCCGUAA